AUUUAACACUUCUGUCUCUUAAAUAGAAUAUCACAUUUGGACAAAUACCUUUCUCAGUAAAACCAGCUGCUGCUGAAAAUUCCUGCCAGACCCAUGCUUUGAUAGACAGGGCAGUCUGGGACAACACUAAACUGAACUGGUGGAUGUAAAUAUCUAGAUGCUCAAGUCUGUGGGAUAAAUUUCUCCAGAGAAAGUACUAGGGAAACCAUAAUUUAUAAUAUGCAUUGGUGAAUAAGGACUUAUUUCAUGAAAGGGGGGAGUUUAUUACAAAUACAGAGGCCCCUGUUCUCAAACAGGGUGCUCUCUCUCGCAACAGAAAUGAGGAGAUCAAAACUUCAUAAAGUGCUUUAUGUGAUCCCAGUGCUGUCAUACCACUUUCCUGCCCCAACCCACUCUGCUCCUCUUUCCCAGCAGUUUCUUUCCUCCUUAGGUCAAGAUGAACAUGGCUUCAUAGUUUUCUUGGCAAAUGGGGAAAUCAGCUCCUCCACCACAUUUAAUCUGACAUGAUUCAAGACACUUCAAAGAGCCAUCAGAUAGCUUCAAGUUCCCUCCCCUCUGUGUUAAAUAAACGGGUUUGUCAUUCUAGAGAAAUGUUUCCACUUUGGCCUUUGGCUCAAGGUAGCUGCACUGGGAAACUGCUGAUGCAAAACACUUGUCUUUCAAGGCUCUGUCCCUCCUCUUUCCCUGUCUGUGCACACAUACAGCCAAGAAUGUAAUUCUCCACUUGGUGAAUAGUUGGGAUUGUCCCACAACUUUUCUUGGGAGACAUCUAUUCCUGGACAGUUUUCAUGUUUCUAUUCUCCCUGUGUUUUAUUAUAUUACAGAAAAUGGAAGACUUAACUCUUUUUUUCUUCUUCUUUUUUUUUUUUCUUUUUCCCCUGUAGUGUGCUGUAGUUAUGAACAGGAAAUUAAAGUCUAUGUGAAAGAAAAGUGUGGAUAAUGCUCCACUCUCGGGUCAGAUGAGCAGUUGGACUCCUACUCUGUGCUGCAGCUGCCUGUAUCUCUCCCUCACAGUGCCAUUCACAGUCCCACAUAGACCUAUGAAAAAUGUUAGUACAGGUGCUGACUAGGGGAGAACUCUCGUCUGAGUUAAAACCAGUCACCAAAACCACCAAAACUGAGUUAAAAACAGUCACAUGAAGUAAGCUGGGAGCUGGCUGGAGAGCUUCCAACCCCUGGGAUUUGACACAACUGGCUGCUGACCCUGGUGCUCCAUAGAACAUAAUGACUUUUGUGGAUUUACUGGAGGUCAGGCAGUUCAUACAGGGGACUGCUCAGCUCCGUAGCUAUAAAUCUUGGAGAUAGAUGCUUUAGCAUUGCAUACAGCUUUUGCAUAUGGUUUUGUGCAAAAUGUUCAGAGCCCCGAGGGCUCUUUGAGCUGGAUGCCGACCACUGACUCCUUUAUCUGACACUCAUACAAGCAUAUUUGCUUCUUACUGCAAGAAGUGCUUGGCCACGGUAACAGUUACUGAGCUGUAUGUUAAACUGAAUACUCUGAUGCUGCACAGAGCAUGCCUUGGGAAAGCAGCACUGCACCUGGGACUUUGGCAAAGGAACAGCCAGGUAAGCUGUCCACAAACCUAUGGUAAGAGGCAUCCACACACAAUAACUGCGUGGUUCUGGGGGGUGGCUGAGGGCAAGAGGCCACAGCACAUUGCCUGCAGAAGGUGGUGGAGCUGUUCAAUCUGGGGAGCAGCUCUGUGUGAUUCUCCUGAGACACAUCUUCUGUGUUUCAUACUGAGUUCUCUCCGGGUAGAGGUGACUAUAUACACUCACAUGCAUGUACCAGAGCACUCAUAUUGUGUGAGAAGCUCUAUCACCUUGUUGUUGCUUUUCAAGUAUAACAAGCAGCCUUGCCCUACUGAUGCCCUCCUACCACCAAUAAUGCAUUUAAUUUUCUCUCAUCUGAUGCUGUAACAGUGCUAGAGGAAAGGCUUGAGGCAUCUUCAAGUUACUGGGUGCCAGUGGCUCUGGCAACGAAUCAGAGAGUUCUAUUGCUCAUAGCUUCAAAAAACGGUAUGUUCUGGAGGGAAGUUGUUACCAGCUCUGUUUGAGGACUUGUGCUAUAGCCAGGGUGUUGGCAUGCAGCGUGCGCUUUGCUUUUCUCAUUGGCAUCCUUGCUGGUGCUGCAAAACAUCACACUACUGAGAUAAAAAUAGGCUCCCUGAAGUGAAAAGCAGCAGGAGGUGCGAUUGCUUUCCUUGCAUCAGCCCAGCAGCUCCAGUUCUGGUUAGCUGGAAAUUCAUAUGAGGUUCCUGUCUGCCCUGAAGCAAGCUUGUCUCAAAUGCACUGCUUGUUGCUGGGCGAGCUCAAAGUCAUGGCAGGUCCAUGGUGCUGCCAUGAGUUGAAUGCGGAGCUUACUCUGAAUGCAAAACAAUUUUAAAACUAACUUAGAGACAAGUUCCUAUGGCUCACCUCAAUAGCCUCUACCUGCCAGAUGGCUGCAUGCGCACUCAUGCUGCCAGUGCCUGCUGGAAUCACAAGGACUGUGUCCUCCAGCAGUGCUGCUUACAGAUAGGAGCCUUUGUCUUGCUCUUUUGCAAAGCUGUAUGAUUAGCUCAUCAGUUUUCAACCUGAGGUGCUCAGUCUUUUGCUUUCCCUCUCCCCCUUGGUGCUGUUAGUAUCCCAUGCAGGAACACAGAGACACGGUGUGUUGUAUGCAUCUGUUCUGAGCAGAAAGCUCGUAUAUGUUGGGGUAGAAGAAAUCACGCUUAAACAGAAUUAAAGCUGUUCUAUAGAGGGCAUGACUUCAAAAAUUGCUGCCUUGGGAGGCAAACAACCCUAUUUUACUUGCUCUAAAGGGACAUAGCGUUCUCGUUAGUGAUCUUGUUUUCUCUCAUCCUGCUCUAUUAUAACUACUGAGAUGCUUCCAAAUAUUUCCCUGUUGAGCUGGUCUCUUAUUUAACAAGUGUUGAGCCUAACUGCACUGCGUGUGUGUGUGUAGCUGCAGGCUAAUCCUGCUCUCCUGCUGUGUUUCUGGAGAACUGGAGAAUGCACAGACCAAAAUGUAAGUUUUCAUAACUCUUAUCAAAGGUUGGUAGCAAGGUUAAGGGAAAAAAAUAAAUUAUGCUUCUUCCUAAGCACUGAGUGAACACUGAGUUGGGAUAGAGUGGGCCCUUGACCAACCUGUACCUGGAAAAACAGAUAAACAGAUAUCAGAUUUAUAACACCGCUCAACACUAAUUUGCAAGCAAGUCAGCUUUCCUCUGUGACCUGGAGUCUCAACCCUUUGUUGUCCACCUUGUGUCUGCUACCUGAGUCUCUGAGGCUAAGGCAACAGGACUACAUCAUGACCCUGCAUGCAGAAAAGUAAGAAAUGAUCAAACUGUGUAGACAGGCACGUUAUUUUUAUAUAUACACUGGCCAGAAUGAAUGCAUCUUAAUCCUAUGCUUUUUAUUUGCGUGUGCCUUUCCUGUGUAUGUAGUAGGGAAGUGUGCUUUUGCUCAUGAUAUUGGACUUACUGGAAAUUUCAGUAUUAUGAUAGCUAUGAAUAUUAUGGUUGGACUAGAUGAUCUUAGAGGUCUUUUUCAACCUUAAUGAUUUUGUGAUUCUGUGAUUAUACCUGAGGGGGUAGAGAGGAAGGAACUGGUUUCCAAUCUGCAUGCAUAUUUACCUCACUGGAAAACCAUUUCCUACUACAUUUAUUGACCUGCUAGACUAUUUUCAAUCACAGGUAGAAGUGGCAGGUUUCAUAUAAAGCUGACUGUUUCUUCUUAAUGCUUUUAUUGCUGAAGUGUGCAUUCAUCCACAGAAUGUGCAGCAGAAGUGAAGCUAGAAGAGCCUCGGGAGGUUAUCUCUGUUCCUUCCUCAUCAUCGGGGUAUGUGGGAAGCACAGAGGAAGAACAUCUCUGAAGAAUAUGGUGAAGAUUAUAGUGAAACGUCUGUCAGUAACAACAGCAAACUUCCAAGAGCCAUCUGUAGGAUUUAUGAUGAGAGUUGAAGAGGAAGUAAAGUGCUAGCUAACGACAAAUGAUACAACUGAGGGCACUCAGUCCUAGAAACUUCUCAGUUUCACUUGGGCCAAUUUCAGAAUGGGUUUUCAUCUCUGACUGCAUGACUCUGAUGUGUGGUACAGGCUUUAGUUCCAAAGCCUGAAUUGUAAACUUGGCUGCAGCCCUUAAACAAUGUGUGAGUGCUGCAUUGACCCUGUAGGAGACCUGCCUAUCAAUCCACUAGGGAAUGAUAAAACAAACUGUAUAGCAAUGAGCUGUGGAAUUUGGGCAAGUUGUAAUGAAAGAAACUUGUGAUGCUGUGGUAGUGGCAGCUCCCGAUUCAAAGUUGAUCUCACUUUCUUCAUGCGCUGCAAAAUCUGUGAGAUAAUGAAGUGAAAUGUCACAGCAGUAGCAUAGAAUCCUAGAAUAGGUUGCGUUGGAAGGGACCUCAGAAAUCAAGUCCCAACCCCGUGCCGUGGGCAGGGCUGCCACCCAGCAGAUCAGGCUGCCUCAUCCAACCUGGCUGUGAGUCCCUCUGGGGAUGGGGCACCCACAGCUUCUGUGACAGAAUGCAUUACAGGGAGAGGCAAUGAAUGAUACUGAAGCUUUAGGUUCUAGGGAGAAGGAUCAAAAUGAUCUAGAAAUACAGGGAAGUGUGACAGGUAUCUAAGGGUAAGUCUGGCACUCUGCAGGGAGAGACUACAGGGAGAGAGAUUCAGUAGGCUGGAAAAGGUAACUGAGGAGAAAGGCAGUGGCUUUAUAGGCUGCCAUAAAGGGCACAGAAAAGUUAAGAAGGAACUAAUUUUUGCAACAUAAGCAAUAGGGAUAUCAAAAGGAAGUAUCGCACAUCAACUUGAAAGCAAAAGUAUUUAGUUGGAAACUGUUGAUACAAAAUGUAGAUGGGGAGGGGAAAGUAAGGGGAAAGGAACAGAGGGAAAACUUAUGAAGGCUAGAUCUUGUAGAGGUUAUUUCAGUUGUGCUGAUUUGAGAUGAUGUUCCUUCUCCUAGCUCUUCAGUGAACUUUUCUUUCCCUCCCCCUCAACCUCUCCCCUUAAUUUAUUCUGCCUUAUAUACGUUAAACUUUUAUUGUGAUUAUGGGAGUUAGAAAUGAAUUAUACAGAAGGAUCCACACUGACAUCUAGAUGAAGGGUGGUGGAGAAAUCCACCAUCAGCCUUUAGGAACUCUUUGGGUGAAUUCGAAUGUAUGGAGCUUUCACUCUCCAUGUAUUUUCAUAAUGAAGUAAUGCCUCUGGAGAAAGUCUUUAGAUGAUAUUCUGUAUAGACCCUUGUUGUCUUACAUCACACCAGUGAUAAGAAAAAAAGUUCCCAAUGUAGCAUGUCAGGGAACUCUGAGGUGGAAGGGAAAGGACAGAUAAGAGAGGGAAUGUCUAAGGAGUACUUAGUACACUCCACAGCUAUCUUCCUCUGAGAGCACACUUAUAAAAGCACACAGAAAAUCUCUAAAAUUAUGCCUAUUACAGCUGAGAAUAGCAGUUUAACUGUUACAACUAUUUAUAUGCAGGACAGAGGAAAAUACUAUAUCAGAAAUAGGGCUAUCAGUCAAACUUUUGCCUCAACAGGAGUCUAAUAGAUGUCUCCCUAGAGCAUCCUCCAGCACACAGACUCACUACUCUGUAAUAGCAUUUGUUAUGGCUGGCAGUUUUUCAAGGCUGGGUAUAUUAAACUAGAUUCCUAUGUCUAUUUAUAUGCCAACAUACUGAAACAGUAUGAAAUCAACUGAAAUCUUAUUUUUUUUCUCCACUCCUCCAGAACCAAUGAGCAACAGAAGUCAGUGCGUGCCUGUUUCUAAACCAAAUAGCUUCUAUUGAGAAAUCUAAAACAUAGAUUUGGUCUUUCAUGCUGACAUGCCAAAUUUUAGGAUGACGGUAUGAUGGGGGAGAAAGAGGUUGGAAAAUUCAGAGAGCCAAAAAAGAAAAUCCCAAAAUAUUUUAGUCUCCUUUACAACUGGAAAUACUUAACAAUGGAGGUGGAAUAAUGACAAUUCUCUAUCCCAUUUCAUUUUCAAUUUAUUAAUUUUUAAGUACUUCAGCAACUUUUCAGAACAGACAAAGAAAACAAAAUGUCUACACUUGUAGGCAGACUUCAGACAGUUGAUGGUAAGCAAUGAACUGCACAAAUUCCUACUGGCCCGAAGUAGGACAGUUCUUGGAGGACAAGAGAUGGAGGCUUUGCUUGCUGCCUUAUCAGGACUUGAUCCCAUUGCAGCUGCAUUACUGGCAUUGAGCCUCUCUAAAAUGUGAGCAGUUGCCCUCUUUUCUGCCUUUCCAUAGAGUAACUUGUAUGAGAUUUGCCUACAUAUGAGAUGUUUCUCAAAUGUGUUUUUACAGUGUUGUGCUUGGAUUUGCUUCUAGCUGUGCUGUGAAGUACCCUGAGGUCUCCUGUGGUUUCUCCAAAGCUUUGGGCCUGUGGUGAAAGUGUUGCUUUGUUCCAUCAGCCAUGGUAUUUCUUAAAUGAUAGAAUUAAAUACUUCUUAAAUGAUAGAAUCUCUAAGGUUGGAAAACUCCGCUAAGGUCUACUUCAGCCAUCAAUGCAGCACCAUCAUAUCACUAAAGCCCUCAGUGCCUCAUCUACACAAUUCUUCCAUGGGCAGUAACUCCAGUACCUCCCUGGGCAGCCAUUGCAUUAAUAAUCUUUGUUUCCUAAUGUAUCCUACAUUUGUAUUCCUAAUGUUUCCUACAUAUCCAACCUGAAUCUCCCCUGGUGCAACUUCAAGCCAUUUUCUCUAGUACUAUAGCUAAUACUUGGGAGAAGAAGCCAACUCGCACCUCACACAAUCUCCUUUCAAGUCAUUGAAGAGAGCUAUAAGGUCUCCCCAGAGCCUUCUCCAGAAAAAAAAAACAAUAGGCUAAACUUGAUGCCCAAAGUCCAAGCUACAGUCAAGCUGCAUGCUGCUUCCCUCUAAAGAAGAUGAACUGAGCUGUUUGAUUUUGAUUGAAGCUUCAAGAAUGUCCUCGUUUACAAGAUAUCUUCAUGGGCAUUCUGGAGGCUUUCCAUAUAAAUGUUCUCCAAACAUAUGUAAAAGCAGAACUCUCGUAAGCUUCAGCUUGGUAAAACUGACUGAUAUGCAAAAUGCUGAAGCUUUAAAUGAGGCUGAAAUGAAACUGAGUUUUAUGAGAUUCUGAUGAACAAGAUCUGGCCUAGUGGAAUAGGAAUGUACUUUCACAAUUGGCUCAUCCUCUAGAUGAACACAGCAUGUCAUACGAGAAUUGUCCUAGUCCAUUGUGAAAGCCCCUAUAAAGCCUAUUAUUAAAGAUGAAUUUCAUACUUUGCUUUCUUAUUCCGCUGUGACUUGAUAAUAUCCAGAACAAUCCCAAGGAGAUGAGUUCAGAGCUGUCGCGAUACAAGGAUGCCACCCUUACAGACUGGGAAGGAAAGAUGGGACAUCCUGGUGAUGGGAUGAGACGCAGAAACACCACCAGCAGCUGCCACUGGAGAGUUAUAGCCCCAUUAAAAUCCAUUAUUUGAGUUGAAGUCCUGGACUUAUGAACUGAAAGAAAUCUCUCUAAUUGUCAUGACCAGCUGAUGGUGUAUGAAGGAUUUGGACUAACCAAAGAGUUAAUAUGUGAGAGAGCACUUACCUUAAUGCUGGGUGCCCAGGAUAUAAACCGAAGGCUACUAAAGACUAUAAUUAAGGAUGCAAGGAUCUGCAUUUGGAAUUUAGUGUUAUGAUGGACCACAUCUCUCUCAGGCAAGAGUCAAGCGGCAGCAGGCUUCCCAAGAGACAUGAAGAGAAGGUUUGUCAUCAAGGGCCUCUUAGGUGGAAGAGACCUGCACGCAGUCCAUCCUGACUUUCAUCAUCAUGGAUAUAUGGGAGGAUACUUACAUCAGUUCAUUUUUUACACCCUUUUUAUCUUGCUACUCAUCUCGCUGUCUGAAAUGCAGUUUGAGCAGGUACUGCUGUGAGUACCAAAGCUGCCUUGUGCCAUAAAGAUAACAGGAUCUUUGGUUACAGAAGUAUUUACUGAAAUGGCUUUUCUUGUUCUCCCACUGCCUCCAUCCUUUCUCCUCCCACAUACGUAGACAUUUAGAGAGCUGUUUGUUGAAGUAAUCUCACUGGAGUAUGAGAUACACAUUCAUACAGAGCGUGGGAGCAAUUUGGCCGUUGCAAUAGGCUCCGCUUCUAUAUUCUGGGUAGGAAGUGAUGUUGCAUAGGCAACUGGAGACACACCUCUUGAAAGAUCUCAGAGCCCUCUUAGCAUCCCUAGCAUCUUCAAGUAUCAAGUGUUUUAGAUUAAAAAUACGUCACUGGAAAUAAUAAGUAUAGGUGCUGAGUGUCAAAUUGUACUUGGCAAUGACUACAACUACAGUAUUUUAUUUUCAGCAAACUUAUGUGGCCAGAAAAAAAUCUUUUAGCAUGUUCUCUAGUAGCAGCUCCUCAUCCUUCAUUUCAAAACUGAUAAAUCUGUGGGAUAACGAGGCUUCAAAAUCCUUCUUGAGGAGCUGUAUCAGCAGCCAAUACAAAGUGAGAUGGAAGGCAGCAGCCAAUGUAAGUAAUGAUCUGGAUCUUUCCCUGUCUGCUUUGCAAAGAAGACCUAUUGCUAAAGUAGUAUUGAAGAUUACAGGCAGGUAAAAUUGUAAUUUUUUCUGCUUUUCCCCUAAAGCUAUUGCCAUAAGAUAGUGUCAGGGUAGUCUUCUCUGCUCUCAUGUAUCUAAAACUAUAGCAAGUUAAUUCACUGCUCACUCCAAGCACUUCUCAUUAAGCAGUAGUCUGCAUAUCUCUGCAGUUCUCACCAUCACUAAGCCAAAUACAGAAACGUUCCUGAGGGAUGACUGUUGCUCUAAGCAAAAGCCUAACAAAAAAACUAGUUUAAGAUAAAUGUAUAUCAGGAAGAACAAUUGGUCUCACCAUGUAAAUGACCUCUGAUUAAUUAAUAACUAUUUUCUGGAACUGGACGCUUAUAAACAGGAAGCAGAAAGCCAAACAGUUCAGUCUAUCUGUGCUAACAUUUGCUUGAGAGCUUGGCUCCUAUUACUAGAGAGUUAUGCCUUUUCCUGGGGCACAGAAAAAGGAUAAAAGGAACCAGUUAUAAAAAGUUUAGCUCUCAUCACAUGAUCCAGAAGCCCCGCUGUGAAUGAAAGGGAAAUAGGGGAUGUGUCAUACAUCAGCCCUUAAAGUUCUCUAUAGGUUUCUCCAAGCCAGCUCUGCCAAUUUCAAGUAUUUAAUGGACUUCUUUUGUUAAGCAUUUUUUUUUGUUGCCUAGACUCAUCCUCUGUAUUACUGACAUCUGAGGAAAGUAAAUACUGCUCACUUGCAGUUUUCUUUCUCAUGCUAACACUUCUUGUGAGCAGUGAAAGCUGAUGAUGGUCGUAUUGCAGUUAUUUAUGCCCUGUUUAAUUUGCUCUUACUGGAGCUGGUUGAGAACACCUAACAAACUAAGUUUGGAAAAUGGAAACUUAGUAUUAGGCAACUGAUUCAAAAAUAACAGCUUUGACAUAAAAUUAAUAAAUAAAUCAAAGAAUGCUUCUUACCUGAGAAAUGCCACUUUCUGAAAAGCAUGUAGGAGAACACCACUUAUACACAACUUAGUGCCCAGCCUCCACGCAUCUAAGAUGUCAAGAUUCACGUCCUUCCUAAAUUGGUAUUAGCUCAUGUCCUUAUUUUUUAGUACAGAAUAUAUGGAUAUCUGCUGUUCUUUUGAAGAAAAAAAUGCUUCCAACUCUCUAAUGCAGACAUAUCAAUCCUACCAGAGGGCUGUUUCAGACAAAAUUAAU